rnacentral:rRNA from 1 species
GCUGAAGUAGGUCCCAAGGGUAUGGCUGUUCGCCAUUUAAAGUGGUACGCGAGCUGGGUUUAGAACGUCGUGAGACAGUUCGGUCCCUAUCUGCCGUGGGCGCUGGAGAAUUGAGGGGGGCUGCUCCUAGUACGAGAGGACCGGAGUGGACGCAUCACUGGUGUUCGGGUUGUCAUGCCAAUGGCACUGCCCGGUAGCUAAAUGCGGAAGAGAUAAGUGCUGAAAGCAUCUAAGCACGAAACUUGCCCCGAGAUGAGUUCUCCCUGAGACUUUAAGUCUCCUGAAGGAACGUUGAAGACKACGACGUUGAUAGGUCGGGUGUGUAAGCGCAGCGAUGCGUUGAGCUAACCGAUACUAAUGAACCGUGAGGCUUAACCUU